rnacentral:rRNA from 1 species
GACGAACGCUGGCGGCGUGCCUAAUACAUGCAAGUCGAGCGGACUGAAUGGGAGCUUGCUCUUGUUCGGUCAGCGGCGGACGGGUGAGUAACACGUGGGCAACCUGCCCGCAAGACCGGGAUAACUCCGGGAAACCGGAGCUAAUACCGGAUAACACCGAAGACCGCAUGGUCUUUGGUUGAAAGGCGGCGCAAGCUGCCACUUGCGGAUGGGCCCGCGGCGCAUUAGCUAGUUGGUGAGGUAACGGCUCACCAAGGCGACGAUGCGUAGCCGGCCUGAGAGGGUGACCGGCCACACUGGGACUGAGACACGGCCCAGACUCCUACGGGAGGCAGCAGUAGGGAAUCUUCCGCAAUAGGCGAAAGCCUGACGGAGCGACGCCGCGUGAGCGAAGAAGGCCUUCGGGUCGUAAAGCUCUGUUGUGAGGGACGAAGGAGCGCCGUUUGAAGAAGGCGGCGCGGUGACGGUACCUCACGAGGAAGCCCCGGCUAACUACGUG